rnacentral:snoRNA from 1 species
UGCCUUCUCUAGAGUCAUUGCAGCCGAACUGUUGGCCUCUUCCCUCCCGCCCUUCCCUCACUCUCCCCCUUGCAUCUCCUUCUGCGUGCGCCACACGUGACUACACACCAUCUCCGCCGCGCUCCAUCCGCGCCGCUUGCCUCUUUCCUCUGGAGAGAGGUUGACAGGGGAUGGGUGCCGUGCGGAAGGAUAAAGGGGAGAAGAGAACUGGGGGCGAGCGGGGUGGCGAAUCGGAGGGCAACAUCGUCACUGUUCCUGCGAUGUAGUUAGGAGGGCUAGAUGU